GCUGCCGUUGGGGCUUAGCGCUUUACUUAGGCAGCGCGUUCGGCUGUUAACCGGAAGCUUGGUGGUUCGAGCCCACCCGGGAGCG